AGUGUCGCGCCGCCCGGACGACGAGCUCGAUACCUACAUGUUCUUCUUCACCCAUGCCAACUGGCGUGGGUAUGUGUGGAAGGCAAACGCCUGGGCCAUGGCGGUGCUGUACUUGGGGGAGAAACCAUUGAAGAUUGGGACGAAGGUAAAAUACGAUAUUUUUCUCUCACUCAGAAGUGUGUACACAUGUAAUAAUCUUCUGUACAUCCUUUAGGAUAAAUUGGAGGUAGGUAAAAGCUUUAUAUGAACACUUUAGUAAUGGUCUGAUAUAUACUCUGUAAGUGGUUGAGUACACUGUUUGUACAUCCCAUCAGCCAUGACACCCACAUGAACCCCGUGUGCCAAACCAAUCUAUACCACCGCCAACCAAUCUGUACCACCUCCGUGUAAUUCGUAUGGUGUGCAAUCCUUCACAAAUAGUCAAAGCCGGUAUACAUGUGAAGAACAGUGGUGACUAACAUCUGGUGACCUCAGUCCAGAUGAUCAACAUACGUGGUUUCCAGGUGGCAGAUAAUUAUCUUGCUCAGAUGAAUCAUUAUUCCAGAAGCAAUUGGCUCAAAUUAAAUCAUAAGGUAGUGUUGUGGUAAGUAGCUGUUCUAAAAAAUCUAAAAAAUAUAUCAAUGUCAACUAAGAAUACCAUUGAAAGAUAUUAUUUAUGACUCUUUUUUACAUUUUACUCAUUUGUUGUGUUCACCCCUUCGGUACAUUUCUAGAACUGAUUCUGUAGCAGCUUUAACUACUUACUAUGCAUUGAUGCAGGUCAGAGGAAGAGGGAGCUUGAGCAUUUAUUUUGUGUUCUUUUGCUGCUAGAAGGUUGCCUGAACGAUGGAUGGCCCAUACAUUUGCAAUGACACCUGUCAUUGAAAAUUUGAACUGCUAACCGUAACUUCUUCAUGUAGGAUAGCAUUUAUGUCACAUCUUUCCGAUGUCUUGAAGGUUGUAAUCUCACCAUCCCGGUUAAACUGUUCAAAUUUUUCCCAGUGGUGCCAUAUUUUGCAUAGCAACCAACAUUGUUGAAGGCCCAUCCAUUGCAAUUCAGAGUCUACACUGCCCGAGUGCCUAUCCAUUGCAAGCCUACACAAUUAGAGCGCAAAGAAUAUCGACAAAAUAGUUAUUACCUGCAUGGAUGAUGUCAGCUCUGCAUCUGAAAAUAACAGGAGGAAGGCCAAUGCAUUAGCUUCCGCAUCAGCCAAGAAACAAGUCAAGAAAGCGCUCUUCCCACAGAAAUAAGGAUCAUGCCACUUGCCGGUAAAGCAUGAACUUCAAACCGUGGUUAGCCCUGGACAGUGCUAUUAUCAGCAGUGUGCUAAUAUAAUUUUACCUUCUUUUAUGUUCUCUCACGGCGACAGAGGUUCAGGUUUGUAAACGGUUCAGACGAACAUGAAAACCGCUAGCAAGGAGAGAAGAUAGGACCAGUGAAAAAUUUGUCGGUUAGGACCAAUAAUUUUAAUAUUAUGGAACUACCAGCUACCUUAAUUAGACUGCU